rnacentral:rRNA from 1 species
AGAGUUUGAUCAUGGCUCAGGAUGAACGCUAGCGGCAGGCCUAAUACAUGCAAGUCGGACGGGAUCCAGCUGGUAGCUUGCUACCGGUUGGUGAGAGUGGCGCACGGGUGCGUAACGCGUGAGCAACCUACCCAUAUCAGGGGGAUAGCCCGAAGAAAUUCGGAUUAACACCGCAUGACACAGAUUGACCGCAUGGUUGAUUUGUCAAAUAUUCAUAGGAUAUGGAUGGGCUCGCGUGACAUUAGCUAGUUGGUGGGGUAACGGCCCACCAAGGCGACGAUGUCUAGGGGCUCUGAGAGGAGAAUCCCCCACACUGGUACUGAGACACGGACCAGACUCCUACGGGAGGCAGCAGUAAGGAAUAUUGGUCAAUGGGGGCAACCCUGAACCAGCCAUGCCGCGUGCAGGAUGACUGCCCUAUGGGUUGUAAACUGCUUUUGUUAGGGAAUAAACCCCACUACGUGUAGUGGGCUGAAUGUACCUAAAGAAUAAGGAUCGGCUAACUCCGUGCCAGCCGCCGCGGUAAUAC